rnacentral:rRNA from 1 species
AGAGUUUGAUCAUGGCUCAGAUUGAACGCUGGCGGCAUGCCUUACACAUGCAAGUCGAACGGUAACAGGCCGCAAGGUGCUGACGAGUGGCGAACGGGUGAGUAAUGCAUCGGAACGUGCCCAGUAGUGGGGGAUAGCCCGGCGAAAGCCGGAUUAAUACCGCAUACGACCUACGGGUGAAAGCGGGGGACCGUAAGGCCUCGCGCUAUUGGAGCGGCCGAUGUCAGAUUAGGUAGUUGGUGGGGUAAAGGCCUACCAAGCCUACGAUCUGUAGCUGGUCUGAGAGGACGACCAGCCACACUGGGACUGAGACACGGCCCAGACUCCUACGGGAGGCAGCAGUGGGGAAUUUUGGACAAUGGGCGCAAGCCUGAUCCAGCCAUGCCGCGUGCGGGAAGAAGGCCUUCGGGUUGUAAACCGCUUUUGUCAGGGAAGAAAUCCUUUGGGUUAAUACCCCGGGGGGAUGACGGUACCUGAAGAAUAAGCACCGGCUAACUACGUGCCAGCAGCCGCGGUAAUACGUAGGGUGCAAGCGUUAAUCGGAAUUACUGGGCGUAAAGCGUGCGCAGGCGGUUUUGUAAGACAGAGGUGAAAUCCCCGGGCUCAACCUGGGAACUGCCUUCGUGACUGCAAGGCUUGAGUGCGGCAGAGGGGGAUGGAAUUCCGCGUGUAGCAGUGAAAUGCGUAGAUAUGCGGAGGAACACCGAUGGCGAAGGCAAUCCCCUGGGCCUGCACUGACGCUCAUGCACGAAAGCGUGGGGAGCAAACAGGAUUAGAUACCCCGGUAGUCCAA